rnacentral:rRNA from 1 species
AACGAACGCUGGCGGCGUGCCUAACACAUGCAAGUCGUGCGAGAAAGUUCCUUCGGGAGCGAGUAAAGCGGCGCACGGGUGAGUAACACGUAGGUAACCCUGCCCCCCAGUCUGGAACAACUAGAGGAAACUCUAGCUAAUGCCGGAUGAGACCACGAUCCCUUCGGGGGUUGCGGCCAAAGAUGGCCUCUACUUGUAAGCUAUCGCUGAGGGAUGGGCCUGCGGGCCAUUAGCUUGUUGGUGAGGUAACGGCUCACCAAGGCUGUGAUGGCUAGCUGGUCUGAGAGGAUGACCAGCCACACUGGGACUGAGACACGGCCCAGACUCCUACGGGAGGCAGCAGUGGGGAAUAUUGCGCAAUGGGCGAAAGCCUGACGCAGCGACGCCGCGUGGGUGAUGAAGGCCUUCGGGUCGUAAAGCCCUGUCGCAGGGGAAGAAUAAGCAUCGGUAUAAUACGCCGGUGCCCUGACGGUACCCUGCAAGAAAGCACCGGCUAACUCCGUG